GACGAACGCUGGCGGCGUGCCUAAUACAUGCAAGUCGAACGCAGUGGGGACGGGUGAGUAACACGUGGGUAACCUCCCAUCAGAGGGGAUAACACUUGGAAACAGGUGCUAAACCGAUACUGAUGGAUGGACCCGCUGUGCAUUAGCUAGUUGGUGAGGUAACGGCUCACCAAGGCCACGAUGCAUAGCCGACCAGAGCGGGGGAUCGGCCAACCUGGGCGUGAGACACGGCCCAGACUCCUAGGGGAGGCAGCAGUAGGGACUAUAAGGCAGUGGCCGAAAGUCUGACCGAGCAACGCCGCUUGAGUGAAGAAGGUUUUCGGAUCGUCAAACUCUGUUGUUAGAGAAGCGGUAGCUAAACAGAAAGCCACGGCUAACUACGUGCCAGCAGCCGCGGUAAUAC
rnacentral:rRNA from 1 species